rnacentral:rRNA from 1 species
UGGGGAAUUUUGGACAAUGGGGGAAACCCUGAUCCAGCCAUCCCGCGUGUUCGAUGAAGGCCUUCGGGUUGUAAAGCACUUUUGGCAGGAAAGAAACGUCAUGGGUUAAUACCCCGUGAAACUGACGGUACCUGCAGAAUAAGCACCGGCUAACUACGUGCCAGCAGCCGCGGUAAUACGUAGGGUGCAAGCGUUAAUCGGAAUUACUGGGCGUAAAGCGUGCGCAGGCGGUUCGGAAAGAAAGAUGUGAAAUCCCAGAGCUCAACUUUGGAACUGCAUUUUUAACUACCGGGCUAGAGUGUGUCAGAGGGAGGUGGAAUUCCGCGUGUAGCAGUUAAAUGCGUAGAUAGGCGGAGGAACACCGAUGGCGAAGGCAGCCUCCUGGGAUAACACUGACGCUCAUGCACGAAAGCGUGGGGAGCAAACAGG